rnacentral:rRNA from 1 species
GACGAACGCUGGCGGCGUGCUUAACACAUGCAAGUCGAACGGAAAGGCCCUGCUUUUGUGGGGUGCUCGAGUGGCGAACGGGUGAGUAACACGUGAGUAACCUGCCCUUGACUUUGGGAUAACUUCAGGAAACUGGGGCUAAUACCGGAUAGGAGCUCCUGCUGCAUGGUGGGGGUUGGAAAGUUUCGGCGGUUGGGGAUGGACUCGCGGCUUAUCAGCUUGUUGGUGGGGUAGUGGCUUACCAAGGCUUUGACGGGUAGCCGGCCUGAGAGGGUGACCGGCCACAUUGGGACUGAGAUACGGCCCAGACUCCUACGGGAGGCAGCAGUGGGGAAUAUUGCACAAUGGGCGGAAGCCUGAUGCAGCAACGCCGCGUGCGGGAUGACGGCCUUCGGGUUGUAAACCGCUUUCGCCUGUGACUAAGCGUGAGUGACGGUAAUGGGUAAAGAAGCACCGGCUAACUACGUG